UAGCUUUGGCAGUAAGUAUACUAAAAUUGGAACUAUACAGAGAAGGAUAACAUGGCCCCUGUGCAAGGAUGACAUGCAAAUUCGUGAAGUGUUCCAUAUUUUU